UACGUAGGUGGCAAGCGUUGUCCGGAAUUAUUGGGCGUAAAGCGCGCGCAGGCGGCCUUUUAAGUCUGAUGUGAAAGCCCACGGCUCAACCGUGGAAGGUCAUUGGAAACUGAAAGGCUUGAGUACAGAAGAGGAAAGCGGAAUUCCACGUGUAGCGGUGAAAUGCGUAGAGAUGUGGAGGAACACCAGUGGCGAAGGCGGCUUUCUGGGACGGUACUGACGCUGAGACGCGAAAGCGUGGGGAGCAAACAGG
rnacentral:rRNA from 1 species